GACGAACGCUGGCGGCGUGCUUAACACAUGCAAGUCGAACGGAAAGGCCCUGCUUUUGUGGGGUGCUCGAGUGGCGAACGGGUGAGUAACACGUGAGUAACCUGCCCUUGACUUUGGGAUAACUUCAGGAAACUGGGACUAAUACCGGAUAGGAGCUCCUGCUGCAUGGUGGGGGUUGGAAAGUUUCGGCGGUUGGGGAUGGACUCGCGGCUUAUCAGCUUGUUGGUGGGGUAGUGGCUUACCAAGGCUUUGACGGGUAGCCGGCCUGAGAGGGUGACCGGCCACAUUGGGACUGAGAUACGGCCCAGACUCCUACGGGAGGCAGCAGUGGGGAAUAUUGCACAAUGGGCGGAAGCCUGAUGCAGCAACGCCGCGUGCGGGAUGACGGCCUUCGGUUUGUAAACCGCUUUCGCCUGUGACGAAGCGUGAGUGACGGUAAUGGGUAAAGAAGCACCGGCUAACUACGUG
rnacentral:rRNA from 1 species